rnacentral:rRNA from 1 species
GAUGAACGCUGGCGGCGUGCCUAAUACAUGCAAGUCGAGCGAACAGAUAAGGAGCUUGCUCCUUUGACGUUAGCGGCGGACGGGUGAGUAACACGUGGGUAACCUACCUAUAAGACUGGAAUAACUCCGGGAAACCGGGGCUAAUGCCGGAUAACAUUUAGAACCGCAUGGUUCUAAAGUGAAAGAUGGUUUUACUAUCACUUAUAGAUGGACCCGCGCCGUAUUAGCUAGUUGGUAAGGUAACGGCUUACCAAGGCAACGAUACGUAGCCGACCUGAGAGGGUGAUCGGCCACACUGGAACUGAGACACGGUCCAGGCUCCUACGGGAGGCAGCAGUAGGGAAUCUUCCGCAAAGGGCGAAAGCCUGACGGAGCAACGCCGCGUGAGUGAUGAAGGUCUUCGGAUCGUAAAACUCUGUUAUUAGGGAAGAACAAAUGUGUAAGUAACUGUGCACGUCUUGACGGUACCUAAUCAGAAAGCCACGGCUAACUACGUG